CUGACUUUGAUGAAUCUAAGUCCCCCAGCACAGAACAGCUGGAUACGCUGAGAGAGUUUGCUGGAAUCGCUGCCGGAGCCUCAGCUCCCGAGAGCCUUGCUACUCUUGCCUUUCUUUAUAUGUGCCUGGCAAUUUCAGCUAAGUAUGGAGAUGUUCCGAGUGUGGACGUACUGGUGUGGUCUGAGCUGCCCACGGGAGCCGGGUUGGGUUCAAGUGCCGCCUAUGCCGUUUGCUUGGCGGCGGCCCUGCUGUCGGCGUGCGGAGCCGUCUCGUGCCCGCUGAAGGAGGGAGACUCCACAGCCAGCUGGCGUGCAGAGGGGUAAGUGAGAGAUGGGGGUGUCAGACUUCAGAAGGUUUUUGCUUAACGUCGCAAGAAAAGAACAGCGUGAUAUAAUGGCUCCUGUGUAGAGAAGAAUCGCAGCCUCUCAAAGAGGAUUAAAAACCAGUGGUUUACAGCAAACUGCGCUUCUAUUUUGAGUAGCGGUGGUGUGAGCUGUUUUCCUGAAUGCUUCACAGAUUAAAUAUUGGC